GGAGAGCACCCCACUUGCAGACGUUUGGCCCAUGCGCAUACCCUUGUGCGUGUUCUGAAAGUGCAAGCUUUGGAUGGAAUGCAAUCGGCCUCUCUGACACAGGUGGAGAGCAGCGAUAGCUCCUCAGAUACCCAGCAACGUAAGCACCAGAUGUCUAAG